CUUUCUUUCUAAGUACUUUCGUUUAAGUGUUUGUGGUAUUUAGUUUUGAUAGCCUAAAGAUUGUGACAGAGUGAGGAACCUCUAGGCCCUUCAUCCAGUUCAUUUUUAUGAAUGUUUGAAAAUGUGAUGAACAUUUUGAAAACUAAAUAAUUGCUCUUUGCACAGUAGUGCUAGCGGCUUCGCGUUUUGGUCCUCGGACCCGGCAGCUGCUUUUGGUGCUAAGCUGCUAGGAAGCCCUCUCGGCAAGCUCGUUGGAACUUGAACCCAUUGUCACCCCUCCGACUCACUGACAGAAAAAAAAAAAAAAAAAAAAUGGUUGAAGCAGAUCGCCCAGGAAAGCUCUUCAUUGGUGGGCUUAAUACGGAAACAAAUGAGAAAGCUCUUGAAGCAGUAUUUGGCAAAUAUGGACGAAUAGCGGAAGUACUCUUGAUGAAAGACCGUGAAACCAGCAAAUCAAGAGGAUUUGCUUUUGUCACCUUUGAAAGCCCAGCAGAUGCUAAGGAUGCAGCCAGAGACAUGAAUGGAAAGUCAUUAGAUGGAAAAGCCAUCAAAGUGGAACAAGCCACCAAACCAUCAUUUGAAAGUGGUAGAUAUGGGCCACCUCCACCUCCAAGAAGUAGAGGCCCUCCAAGAGGUCUUAGAGGUGGAAGAGGAGGAAGUGGAGGAACCAGGGGACCUCCCUCACAGGGAGGACACAUGGAUGACAGUGGAUAUUCCAUGAAUUUUAACAUGAGUUCUUCCAGGGGACCACCCCCAGUAAAAAGAGGACCAGCACCAAGAAGUGGGGGUCCUCCUCCUAAGAGAUCUGCACCUUCAGGACCAGUUUGCAGCAGCAGUGGAAUGGGAGGAAGAGCUCCUGUAUCACUUGGAAGAGGUAGUUACGGAGGUCCACCUCGAAGAGAACUGCUGCCUUCUCGUAGAGAUGUUUAUUUGUCCCCAAGAGAUGAUGGGUAUUCUACUAAAGACAGCCAUUCCAGCAGAGAUUACCCAAGUUCUCGUGAUACAAGAGAUUAUGCACCACCACCACGAGGUUAUACUUACCAUGACUAUGGUCAUUCCAGUUCACGUGAUGACUAUCCAUCAAGAGGCUAUAGCAAUAGAGAUGGAUAUGGUCGUGAUCAUGACUAUUCAGAUCAUCCAAGUGGAGGUUCCUACAGAGAUUCACGUAAGGAAUCUUGAGAGUUAUGGUAACUCACGUAGUACUCCAUCUACACGAGGGCCCCUGCCAUCUUAUGGUGGAAGCAGUCACUAUGAUGAUUACAGCAGCUCACGUGACGGAUAUGGUGGAAGUCAAGAAAGUUACUCAAGCAGCCAAAGUGAUCUCUACUCAAGUGGUAGUGAUCAGGUUGGCAGACAAGAAAGAGGGCUUCCCCCUUCUAUGGAAAGGGGGUACCCUCCUCCACAUGAUUCCCACAGCAGUUCAAGCCGCGGAGCACCAAGAGGUGGUGGCCAUGGAGGAAGCCGAUCUGAUAGAGGGGGAGGCAGAAGCAGAUACUAGAAACAAAACUUUGGACCAAAAUCCCAGUUCAAAGAAACAAACAAAAAAUGGAAACUAUUCUGUCAUAACUACCCAAGGACUACUAAAAAGAAAAAUUGUGUUACCUUUUUUAAAUUCCCUGUUAAGUUCCCCUCCAUAAUUUUUAUGGUCUUGUGAGGAAAAAAGUAAAACAUGUUUAGUAUUAUUUGACUGUAUGACAUUGCUUUUCAACAAGCAAAUGUUAAAUGUGUUAAGACUUGUUGUACUAGUGUUGUAACUUUCCAAGUUAAAGUGUCCCUAAAGGCUACUUCCUAUAUGAUUUUUCCUAGUAAGUGAGGCAAGAAAUUCUAAGAUCUUCCACAAAACAUCUAGCCAUGUAAAACGGAGAGAUGAAUCAUUCUGUUUAUACAAACAAACUAGCUAUUAGAGGGUAGUUGGGGUAUGCUACUCAUAAGAUUUCAGGGUGUCUUCCAACUAAAACCUCCAUGAUCUCAGUACGAAAAACCUGAAAUCAGAUGCCUAUGUAAGGACGUAAUCACCUAGUAAACCCAAAAAUGCAAAUGGAUAAUGCUGGCCAUUUUGCCUUUCUGACAUUUCCUUGGGAAUCUGCAAGAACCUUCCUUUUCCCCUCCCCCAAUAAGACCAUUUAAGUAUGUGUUAAACAACUACGGAAUACUAAAUAAAAAGUUUGGCCAAAACCAAAAUAAAAAAAGAAAACUGUAAAUAAUUAUGUAUUAUUAGUUCAUUUAUUUCCCUGAAAGU